rnacentral:lncRNA from 1 species
AAACCAACAAACGAUAAGAGUGCUGAGACACACACCCGUUUACAAAAAAAUACUAAUAAGAAUAGUAGUCAUAUUAAUAGUAAUAAUAACAGUGUUAAUAACAAUGUUAAUAAUAAUACUAAUAACAAUAACAAUACGAAGAACUUAAAAAACAAACUAACCAUUGUUGAAAAUAGUGGUCUAUUAAAGAAUAAAAAUACAGAUGCCAAAGUAUACAACAAUAAAGGUAGAAGCUAUACCGAAAUUAUUAAUAAAGCUGUGUCUAUUGACUUAAAAAAUAAAAACACAUAUAAUAAUAAAGGGAAAAAUAAAUGUGAAGAACCAGAAACGGUAAAAACUAUGAAGAAAUUUAAUACAGCUAAAAUAAAUAGUAGUGCUUAUACUAAAGGUUUUAACAAGUUGUCAAACGUUAAAAAUGUACCAACUAGUGUAGCAAAAGGUGGAAUCAAAAGUGUUCCACAAAAUUCGGGUGCUAAUAUAGCUCCAAAUGGGGCGAUAAAUGUGGCAACAAGUGUGGCUACGAAUGUGGCUACGAAUGUGGCUGCGAAUGUGGCUACGAAUGUGGCUACGAAUGUGGCUACGAAUGUGGCUACACAUACAUAUAAAAAAUAUAUGAGUAAAAAUUUGAAUGCUAAUACUACGAAUGCAUCUUUAAACAAAAAUAAAUUAAAUGACGCUAGGGGUAUAGGGAAAGAUAUGAAAAAUAACAAAAAGGGGUUACAUACAAAAUCCAAUGUACAAAAAAUUGUAGUAAAUAAAAAAAACGAAUUAAAAAAUAAUAAAGAGAAUAUUCCUCGUUUAGUCAAUGACAAGACAAAAAAGGACAUACAAAAUUUACAUAAUAAAAUAAAUCCCCCCGAACACAUGAAUAUAACAAAAAAUGUAUUUUUAAAAGUAGAAAAUGAUUGUGAUGUUAUUGAAGUGGAUUAUUCAGAUAAUGAAAGAGGUUUGGCUAAACAGGAGGAAAUAGAAAGAGAAAGGGGUGAGAAUUUGACACACUUAGAAAAAAAUAACGCAACUGUUGACCCAGAAAACACAAACAAACCGAACGAAACAUCUAAUCAAAUAUUUUCAUAUAAAGAAAAAAAAGAAACUGAAA